UCAGUUCCCAAAUUUAGAAGUGAGAUUGAAGACUAAUUUGGAUAGAUUUUCUUACCAAAUCAAAAUUAAAAAACACCAUAAAUUCGUUAGGGACACUACGGAUUUUGAGACUGGAAGAGUCUAUCGACAGACCAAAAGGAAGGUCAGGAUCGACUCUGAUCAUUUCAGUACUUCUGAAUAUGAGUCGACUGACAAUGAGGGAGAAAAUAUAGCUACUACAUCUACACAAAUUGAACCUAAAAGUAUAUUGAGGAAGGGUGUAGAUUUUUUAGGCUUACGACAGGCGGACGAACUUCAGCGUCCCAGAACAAGACAAACACAGAGAGGCAGGGGUCAGAGAAGACCACGACGCCAAUAACUAAUGACUUAAGGAUAAUCAAUUUGUCCUCAGUCACAAUAACGGACAUGCAAUCUCAAACUCUUUCUAAAGGCUUAUCCUUUGUGCCCACACCUCCCUUUAACAAAUUUAUGUGGACAAAGGAUCUGAACCUAUUCGCCCGUAAAUUGGCUUUACACAAAUAUCAUACACAUAAAAAAGAAUUACGAGCAUCCAGUCUGGGGUUGACAAUUAAGGACAUGGAUUGUCUGGAGACUCUGAUUGAACUCCUUGACUCCAACAAUUCCUAGGAUAUUAACAUUCCAAUUACCCAACUUGCACCUAAGAGCCGCUUCACACCACAUUUAAAAGACUAUAAGAAUAUUGAAGUCUUCCUUGAUAUGGUAUGUGGAGAAAUUGAAAAAGUAGAACUGGGGACUCUGAAUAUAGAACCCAUUGGGAAUCUCACUAGAAUAGAAAAGUUGGCACUGAAGCAACUGAAGGAGAAUGAUCAAUUGGUUAUUAAACCAUCAGACAAGGGGGGCAACAUAGUCCUUAUGGAUCACUCUAAAUAUACACAGAUGGUAAAAAACUUGUUAGAUGAUCGAGAAACCUACCAGGUAUUAAAUCAUGAUCCAACUAUGCAAUAUCUUGUUGAGAUUAAGGCUAUGCUAAGUCAAGCCCUAAUGGAAAAUCUUAUUACCAAAAACGAAUUUGAGUUUAUGCUGGUAAAACAACCAAUACUCUCAACCUUCUAUAGUUUACCUAAAGUUCACAAAUCUCUAGAAAGCCCGUCAGGUAGACCAAUUGUUUCAGGUUGUGGGAACCUAACCCAAAAUCUGAGCAUCUUUUUGGAUAAGAUUUUGUCUCCUAUGGUUGCAAAAUUACCCUCUUACAUAAGGGACACGAAACAGAUGCUUAAUUUCUUGAAGGAUAUCUCCAUACCGG